GAUGAACGCUAGCGGCAGGCCUAACACAUGCAAGUCGAGGGGUAGCAGGAUUAAGCUUGCUUAAUUGCUGACGACCGGCGCACGGGUGCGUAACGCGUAUGCAACCUACCUUAUACUGGGGUAUAGCCCGGAGAAAUUCGGAUUAAUCCCCCAUAGUACUAAUGAAUCGCAUGGUUUAUUAGUUAAAGCAUUGCGGUAUAAGAUGGGCAUGCGUCCUAUUAGCUAGAUGGUGAGGUAACGGCUCACCAUGGCUACGAUAGGUAGGGGGCCUGAGAGGGUGGUCCCCCACACUGGUACUGAGACACGGACCAGACUCCUACGGGAGGCAGCAGUGAGGAAUAUUGGUCAAUGGGCGCAAGCCUGAACCAGCCAUCCCGCGUGAAGGAAGACGGCCCUAUGGGUUGUAAACUUCUUUUCCAGGGGGUGAAUUAUCCCGACGUGUCGGGGUUUGACGGUACCCUGGGAAUAAGCAUCGGCUAACUCCGUGCCAGCCGCCGCCGUAA
rnacentral:rRNA from 1 species